rnacentral:rRNA from 1 species
UUAUUGGGAGAGUUUGAUCCUGGCAUCAGUAGAACGCUGGCGGCUGCCUAAUUACAUGCAAGUCGAGCAAUGGAUAAAAGCGUGCGCUUAUUGUGAAGUUAGCGCGGACGGCGGCUGAGUACCCGUGGGUAACCUGCCCAUAAGACUGGGAAAGCUCAGGAACACCGGGGCUAAUACCGGAUAACAUUUUGAACUGCAUGGUAUCGAAAUUGAAAAGGCGGCUUUGGCUGUCACUUAUGGAGGACCCGCGUCGCAAUUAGUGGCUAGUUGGUGAGUAACCGGCUCACAAGGCAACGAUGCGUAGCCGACUGAGAGGGAUCGGCCACACUGGACUGAACACGGCCCAGACUCCUACGGGAGGCAGCAGUAGAACUUCCCAAUUGACGAAAGUCUGACGGAGCAACGCCGCGUGAGUGUGAAGGCCUUCGGGUCGUAAAACUCUGUUGUUAGGAAGAACAAGUGCUAGUUGAAUAAGCUGCAACCUUGACGGACCUAAACCAGAAAGCACGGCUAACUACGUGCAGCAGCCGCGUAACUACGUAGUGGCAAGCGUUAUCCGAAUUAUUGGGCGCGUAAAGCCGCGCAGUGGUUUCUUAAGUCUGAUGUGAAAGCCCACGGCUCAACCGUGGAGGUUCAUUGAAACUGGGAGACUUGAUGCAGAAGAGGAAAGUGGGAAUUCCAUGGUUAGCGGUGAAAUGCGUAAGAGAUAGGGAGAACACCCAGUGCGAAGGCGAACGUUCUGUCGUAACUACACUGAGCGCGGAAAGCGUGGGGAGCAAACAGAUUAGAUUUACCUGGUAUCCACGCCGUAAACGAUGGAGUGCUAAAGUGUUAGAGGUUUCCGCCCUUUAGUGCUGAAGUUAAAACGCAUUAACACUCCGCCUGGGGAGUACGCCGCAAGGCUGAAACUCAAAGGAAUGACGGGGCCCGCACAAGCGUGAAGCAUGUGGUUUAAUCGAGCAACGCGAAGAACCUUACCAGUCUGACCAUCCUCUGAAAACCCUAGAGAAUAGUGCUCUCCUCGGGAGCAGAGCUGGACAGGGUUGGUGCAGGGUUGUCGUCAGCUCGUGUCGUAGAUGUUGGUUAAGUCCCGCAACGAGCCAACCCUUUGAUCUUAGGUAGCCAUCAUUAAGUUGGGCACUCUAGCUGACUGCCGGUGACAAAACCGAAGGAAGGUGGGGAUGACGUCAAAUCAUCCAUGCCCUUAUACCUGGGCUACACACGUGCUAACAAUGGACGGUACAAAGAGCUGCCAAGACCGCGAGUUGGAGCUAAUCUCAUAAAAACCGUUCAUCAGUUCGGAUUGUAGGCUGCAACUCGGCCUACAUGAAGCUGGAUGAAUCGCUAGUAAUCGCGGAUUCAGCAAUGCCGCGGUGAAUACGUUCCCGGCCUUGGUACACAACCGCCCGUCACACCACUAGAGUUUUGUAACCACCCGAAGUCGGUUGGGGUAACCUUUUUGGCGCCACCGCCUAAAAGGGGGACAGAGAUUGGGUGAAGUCGUACAAGUACCGAAUCGGCAAGGUGCGGGGGAUCAACCUCCUU